rnacentral:rRNA from 1 species
AUGAUUUCACUAGUGAUUUCUGGUUGAUCCCGGCGGAGGCUACUGCUAUUGGGAUUCGAUUAAGCCAUGCAAGUUGAAUGAAUUUAGAUUCAUGGCGUACGGCUCAGUAACACGUGGAUAACUUACCCUUAGGACUGGGAUAACUCUGGGAAACUGGGGAUAAUACCGGAUAUUAGGCUAUGUCUGCAAUGGUUUGCCUUUGAAAUGUUUUUUUUCGCCUAAGGAUAGAUCUGCGGCUGAUUAGGUCGUUGGUGGGGUAAUGGCCCACCAAGCCGAUGAUCGGUACGGGUUGUGAGAGCAAGGGCCCGGAGAUGGAACCUGAGACAAGGUUCCAGACCCUACGGGGUGCAGCAGGCGCGAAACCUCCGCAAUGUACGAAAGUGCGACGGGGGGAUCCCAAGUGUUAUGCUUAAAGGUAUGACUUUUCAUUAGUGGAAAAAGCUUUUAGAAUACGAUCUGGGCAAGACCGGUGCCAGCCGCCGCGGGAACACCGGCAGCUCGAGUGGUGGCUGUCAUCAUUGGAGCUAAAGCAUUUUAACUCGUUUGAUAAUUCCUUGAUGACAGCUUGAAGCUUAACUAUUAUAAAUGCUGGUGUGAUAUCAAAAAUUAAGUCGGGUUUAGGCUCAUGUUCUACCGGCGUAGGGUGCAAUCCCCAUAACCGGCUACGACACCUUGAAGUGAACGCAUUUACCCGUAUAAUGGGGACUAGGAUAACGCAGCCACCCGCUGGGAACCGUAUAGCGACGUCAGGAGUCCGCCUCCAAAAAUAUAAACACAAGGGUGAGAAGGCUGGCAGACGACACACUACAGAAGUCCAUUGCGAAACUACCUUAUCUGAGACUUUGCCUAGAUUGUGAAUAUUAUG